UCUAAGAAUUUGCAAAAACCAGGUCCAGAACCUGAUGCAGCCAGGCCGUCGUAGUUGUAGUUCCUCCCGGCAAGGAAUGCAGGGAGGAACCCUGUCAAGCACCCAUUGUGACUCAUUCUGAGUCAGGGACUGAGGACUGGGGGUGGGGCACAGGCCUGAGUAGGGGAAGACCAGCCCCUCCCCAUGGAGGGGCUAACAAUAUAGUUGACAAACAGCCGCACACAAGUAAAGAAAAGCAAGUUAUGGAGCAGCGGGCAUCUGAGAAGGCAUGGCAGCGUAUAAUUCAGCAGCAGCAUUUAAGUACAUUCACACGGUUGAAUAACCAUUGGCACCCCCCAUCUCCAGAACCUUCCUCAUCACCCAAAACAGGAGCUAACCGUUGAGCAUUAACUACCCACCUCCCGUUCCCGCUCGCCUCCGGUAGCCCCGGUUCUACUUUCUAUUUCUGUGAAUUUGUCUUUCUAGAUAUUUCACAUAAGCGCAAUCAAUUUGUC